UGUGGCCAUGGUUAAGGCGAUGGACUAGAAAUCCAUUGGGGUUCCCCGCGUGGUUCGAACCCUACCGGCAAAU